rnacentral:rRNA from 1 species
UACAGAGGUCUCAAGCGUUGUUCGGAUUCAUUGGGCGUAAAGGACGCGUAGGCUGCGGGGCAAGUCGGGUGUGAAAUCUCAGAGCUCAACUCUGAAACUGCACUCGAUACUGCUUUGCUUGAGGACUGGAGAGGAGAUUGGAAUUCACGGUGUAGCAGUGAAAUGCGUAGAUAUCGUGAGGAAGACCAGUGGCGAAGGCGGGUCUCUGGACAGUUCCUGACGCUGAGGCACGAAGGUCAGGGGAGCAAACGGG